rnacentral:lncRNA from 1 species
AAAUGGAAAAUAUUAAUAAAAAAUAACUUGGAGCUAAGCAAACUUUUCUAUUCUAUAAAUCAGGCAAAAGGUUAUUUUACAAUCUUUCUUGGACUAGCUUAAAUGCGAAGACUUAGCAUACUGGUGGGAAAAUAAUAAGGUUUUAUAGAAGUUGAAUUUUUAAAAAUAUGCCAGGAGAUUUAAAAAUCAUCCACAGAAAUACUAAAAGCUAAAUGGUAAAAUGAAAUACAUGCAUGUGAAUUGUUAUUUAUGUAAAUAAAGUUUAUCACACAAUAUAUGCAACAAAUAUAGACUACACAUUCAUUUCCAUGUUUUUUCUCUCAGAACAAACAAUCUUGAUGUUCUUUCCAUUUCUAUCCUUGCAUAAUAAUUUAUUAACUAAAAGUCAUAAUGGGUGGUUUUCAUAUUCCAUGAGUAAACAUGAAGCUCAUCAUCUUCUUCCCUCUCUGUUUUCAUAUUUCAAUAUUUUAUUUUGUCAAUUAUUAACUGAGAAACAGGAUGUUUUUGUCUUAUUCUUAAUGUUAUAGAGACAUCUAUUUCUUCAGUUUUUAAUACAUUAAUACCCUUUUGUUAAAAUAGGUUAUAGGUUAUUAUACUGGUGGCCAAAAAUUUUGAAAAUAUUUCUAAGAACAAUGACAUGAUCAAAAUUAUAUUCAUGAAUGAUUAUGUUAGUAAUAAUGUAUGGGACUCAUUGAUUUUAAUAUACGCAAGGAUCAGAAAUUAUAGGCAGAGUUAAUCCAAUAAUCCCACACAUUUUCUACUCCAGAUUGAAAUAUGUUAUUUCUCAAGGAAUGGCUAUAAUAUAGAGACAUCAUAGUUAUUGUUCAUAUAGAAUAUUCUUUGAAUAUAACUUUAAAACUAUGGCAA